rnacentral:rRNA from 1 species
AUUGAACGCUGGCGGCAGGCCUAACACAUGCAAGUCGAACGAGUGGCGGACGGGUGGGUAAUGUCUGGGAAACUGCCUGAUGUAGGGGGAUACCUACUGGAAACGUUAGCUAAUACCGCAUACCAUCAUAUUGGGCCAGAAGGGAUUAGCUUGUUGGUGUGGUAACGGCUCACCAAGGCGACGAUCCCUAGCCAUGCUGAGAGGAUGACCGGCCACACUGGAACUGAGACACGGUCCAGACUCCUACGGGAGGCAGCAGUGGGGAAUAUUGCACAAUGGGCGAAAGCCUGAUGCAGCCAUGCCGCGUGUAUGAAGAAGGCCUUCGGGUUGUAAAGUACUUUCAGCGGGGAGGCGUUACCCGCAUAAGAAGCACCGGCUAACUCCGUGCCAGCAGCCGCGGUAAUAC